rnacentral:rRNA from 1 species
UACGAAGGGGGCUAGCGUUGCUCAGAAUUACUGGGCGUAAAGGGCGCGUAGGCGGACAGUUAAGUCAGAGGUGAAAGCCCAGGGCUCAACCCUGGAAUUGCCUUUGAUACUGGCUGUCUUGAGUACGGGAGAGGUGAGUGGAACUCCGAGUGUAGAGGUGAAAUUCGUAGAUAUUCGGAAGAACACCAGUGGCGAAGGCGACUCACUGGCCCGUUACCGACGCUCAGGCGCGACAGCGUGGGGAGCAAACAGG